AUUAUAGAGAAUGAUGUUUUAUGCUAUUAUUUGAAAAAAUAUAUGUUGGAUACAAAAAUAAAUUGACGAACUAUUAAAAAAUAUUGCAAUGAAGACAUAGUAUGUGCUAACAUAUAUGCAAUCAUCUGGGAUUUUAUAACUGAAGAAGAUGAUUCACAUAAUUUUGCCGAAAAUGUUCAAUUGAAGGAUUGCAUAGCAUGUUGAGGAUUGAAGGGUUGCAUAGCUUGUGACAAGAAAUUUCUUCUUCUU